AAACCAAGAGGAUUAAGUCAUGCACUCUCCGGUAAAAAGACAGUUAAGUAUAAGCAAAAGCUCACUUAAUUGUUAUUGAGAAGUAAAAUUCGAAAAUAGCUUAGAAAUUUAGUCCAAGCUGAAAGACUGAAGCUGUGAUCCCCUUGAGGGAAACUGGGAUUAGAUACCCCACUAUUCCUGGAAGUAAAAGGAUAUAAGUCUACCAGAGUACUAUGGAUUGCGCACAUUUAAAACUCAAAGAGCUUGGCGGUGUUUUAGACUCUUUAGGGGAACCUGUCUCAUAAUCGACAAUCCACGAAAAACCUGACCUUUAUUUGUCCUCAGUUUGUAUACCGUCGUCGUCAGGUAACUUUUAAGAAUAAAGAAGUUAGCAAAUAAGCCUAAAUAAACUACUACGUCAGAUCAAGGUGCAGCCAAUAUAAAGGGGAGGAUGGGUUACAAUUAUAGGUAUUAUAACUACGGAAUAAUCAUCUUAAAUAAAGACUAUGAAGGAGGACUUAAAAGUAAAAUAGAAUAUACAAAUAUAUUGAAUCGAGCUCUGAAACGUGC
rnacentral:rRNA from 1 species